CCGGGCUCCACACCCUUUUUCUCUUGAAAUUACUGUUAUGCCCCCACCCCUCAAAUAUCUCACUCUCUCUCUUUCGUUUUUUUUAGUUUUUUUUAAUAAGUUUGUUUUUCUUAAUUAAUUUUUUUAUCAAUCUUUUAUUUUUUUAUCUGUUUUAUUUUUAUUUGUAAUUAAAUAAAUUAUUUUUUAUUAUAUGUUUGUAUUUUUAGUUGUAGAUGUGGGAGUCAUUAUUUGUAAAAAUUACAAAAAACGAAUAAAAAAAUUAUUUCUUUAAGUUGUUAUUGUUUGAGUUGAUUUUUAUUUUUUUAUUAGUUUUAUUUUUUAUUGUUUUUUUUUAAUUUUUAGUAGUUUUUAUUUAUUUUAUUUUUAUUUGUUUAGUGUUUGUAUUAAUGUUAAUUAAAAAAGGCACAUUCAAUGCCCCAACACUUGACAAUGUUUUUUUUUAUUAGUUUGAAAAUAACUAUUUUUUAAUUAGUUUUUUAAAUUUUAUAAAUAAUAAACUCUAACAUCUUACAACUAAAAAAUAAACAAAAGAUUUAUAACAUAUAAAAAAAACAAAAAAAUAUUUAUAUAAGAAAAAAAAAAUUAAUAAAGAAAAGAAAAAAACUGAUAAAAAAAAUUAGAAAAGGGAGGGAGACAAAAGAAAGGAAAGAAAAAAGGGAAGGACGGACACAAGGGUAAAUUUGGGGGUGGGGCCAGGGGAGGCCAUGGGGAGGGUCUGACACGAGAGGGGGAAAAGCAAUUCUCUUUUUUUAUGCACACAAAGAUCUGAUUGGAUAGUUGGUUUUUAAUUUUAGGUUACAAUUGCAAAGGAAAAGAAAACGUUUAUAGAUUUAACCAUUUACAUUUAACUUUUUUCUCCACAAAUUCCUCUCUAAAUCUAUAAUUAAAAUACAACUAUUUUUUUUUUAUGCGAAUAGGUUAUAGGAAUAUGACCAUCUUAUGAAGUGUUCGGACUAAACUGCAAACCAUUUACGUUUCCAUCCAAAUUAACAGAAUGCGCAAUAAAACACAAUUUGAGAGUCGAAGAGAAAAAGGUCUGAAUCAAAGUCAAACACCAAAACCAUAAAAUCCCCCAAUAAUUACCCUUUCGUUAUCUUCCUCUUCCUCCAACCAACUAAAAUGACCUCAAUCUUAUAACUCAUCCCCCCACCACCUACGUCAGAAUGUACAACAACCAAUCGCCAACAUAGCCACUUCCAAACUUCAACUUCAUCACUGGCGUAUCAUAAUACACUACAACAAAAGGUCCAUUACCAACAAAAUGAUUUUCUCUCCUCUCCAAACGACCUUAUUCAGUGUUAACAACUUGCCCGACAAACAAUAUGUCGUCACCUGAUCGUAAGCGACAAACUUAUGUCGUUGAAAGUGUCCUCUGACAAAAAUUUUAUUUCGCCGUUUAAUAAAACUUUCUAGCAAUAAAGAUCAUGUCCUUGUCGAAUAUAAUAGUUUAGCGGUAAAAUAUUUCAUAACCCACAUAAUAUAAUUUCCUCGCCUUAGGUCACGUUUCGUCACUAAAUAAUUUAAAAUUUUAUUAAUUAUUUUUUUUGUAAAAUAAUAGGUGACAAAAAUUUCGUCACUAAAGGCAGUUUGCAGAAGCAAAAGACGACGAAAUAUUUCCUCGCUAAAGAUCUUCUCACGCCAUAAAUGCCUAGAAUUCGCCAUGGGCCUUACUCUCGUGAUCUGAUUAGUUCAGCUUUUAAGCUCCUAUGCAUAGAUAGACUUGGGGAAAAGAUCAAAUUGAUUUCGUAACCAUAGCCACGUAUUUUUGUGAAAUACUAUUUAGAAAAAUGAAUGAUAAGUGUAAGUUUGAAUGUUGACCGUCCUAUUUUUUUAGACAAUUCUAAUGAAAUUAUAUGGCUAUAAUUAUUAAGUCAACUUAAUUUUUGCUUUUUUGUAUGGAUGAUCUAUGUUCAUAGAUUUAAAAAAUGAACUCAUUAUAUUAUUGAAGAUGGACUCUGGUGAGUCCCAUGAAACCGAAACAUGUGGUAUGAUGCAAUCCACAUACAAGUCAUUUAUUUUCCGUUUAUAUUUAUAUUAAUUUUUAAAUUUUUGGGUGUAUUUUUUAAUUUAGGGAUGGGCAUUCUAGGAGUCGAGCUCGCACUACAUACUUAGAGGCUUUUGGUCUGCCCAAGUCAGGACUAGCUGGAUAUGGCCAAAUAUAGAAUUGCCAACUCUAGUCCUAAAAACUUUUAUAUUCCCAAGCCCACCCAUUAAAUUCACUUGUUCAAACUCUUAAAUGUUAAAUAUAUUUAACCAUUUAUAUUAUAUUAAUUCUAAUUUUCUUUUUAAACUUAAGUAUAUCUUCGUAUUUUGUACUACUUUUAGGAAAACCUAAAGAACCAAAUGCUUCAUUGAAAUUUUGCUAUUAUCUCUGUACAAACCACAUAAUUCCCCUUUCACUUAAUAAAAGUAUGGUUUUAAUUAAAAUAAAAUUAUUUUUUAUAUUUAAAAUAAAUUCCCCUUUCAUAACACGAUUUUACAAUUAGUAUAUUUUUUAUAUGAAAUGAUAUGAUAAAUUUGUACCUAAUUAUUUUAAAUUAAAAAAUCCUUUAAAGAGAGUAUUAUUUUAAUUUCUGAUAUGAGGCAAUCAUAGAAAAUAUGAAGAAAAAAAAAAAGUGUGUUAAACAAACACCCAUAUCAUUGUAAAACAAACAAGUACAUAUGAGAUCGCCAAGAUAGUAUCCGACUUAGUCCGAUUGGAUUUGUUUAUCCAACUGAAAUCCGACUGGAUUUCUAAUCCGUCAAAUUCAAUCUCCAAAACAAACAUGUCCCUCGUUGAAUUCGCACUACAUACUUAGAGGCUUUUGGUCUGCCCAAGUCAGGACUAGCUGGAUAUGGCCAAAUAUAGAAUUGCCAACUCUAGUCCUAAAAACUUUUAUAUUCCAAGCACACCCAUUAAAUUCACUUAUUCAAACUUUUAAAUGUUAAAUAUAUUUAACCAUUUACAUUAUAUUAAUUCUAAUUUUCUCUUUAAACUUGAGUAUAUCUUCGUAUUUUGUACUACUUUUAGGAAAACCUAAAGAACCAAAUGCUUCAUUGAAAUUUUGCUAUUAUCUUGUUACAAAACACAUAAUUCCCCUUACUUAAAUAAAACGUGUAUGGUUUUUAAUUAAAUAAAAAUUAUUUUUUAUAUUUAAAAUAAAUUCCCUUUAUCAACACGGAUUUUACAAUUAGUAUAUUUUGUAUAUGAAAUGAUAGAUAAUGGUUACCUAUUAUUUUAAAUUAAAAAAUCUUAAAGAGAGUAUUAUUUUAAAAAUGAUGAUAUGAGGGCAAUCAUAGAAAAUAUUGAAGAAACAAAAAGUGUUUACACCCAACACCCAUAUCCAUGUAAAACAAACAAGUACAUAUGUGAGAUUUACAAGAUAGUACAUCCGACUAUAGUCCGUUGUAUUCGGUUAUCCAACCUUAAUCCGACUUGGAUUUCUAAUCAGUCAAAUCAAUCUCCAAAACAAACAUGUCCCUGUUGAAUUCGCCACACUACCAUACUUAGAGGAUUUUGGUUCUGCCCAAGUCAGGACUAGCUGGAUAUGGCCAAAAUAUAGAAUUUGCCAAACUCUAGUCCUAAAAACUUUUAAUUCCAAGCACACCAUUAAAUUCACUUAUUCAACUUUUAAAUGUUAAUAUAUUUAACCAUUUACAUUAUAUUAAUUCUAAUUUCUCUUUAAACUUGAGUAUAGCUUCGUAAAUUUGUACUACUUUUAGGAAAACCUAAGAACCAAAUGCUUGAUUAAAUUUUUGCUUAUCUCUGUACAAACCACAUGAAUUCCACCAUUUAUCCCUAGUCUUUGAUCAGUAUCUUCUAAGUUAUUCCAAAUUCAUUGGUUCCAAUUCCUAAUUUUUAAUGGGCUAUGGGCCCAUAGCCCCUGCAUGUCUUCACUCUAGUAUUAUCCCACAUGCAGCCUGAUGAUCCCAAUGUCCACUUUCCUUUCUUUUCUUUUUUCUGCUAAUUUUUUUAGGAUUGUGAUGUGCAAAAAAUGUUGUUUGAAAAAACACAAAAGAGGGGGGGGGGGGGGGGGGGGGGAAGAAAAUUGCAUGGAUGUCAAGUAUACCGCAUUAUUUGAAUGUAAAUUACGCAUUAUUUGAAUGUAAUUGUCAAUUCUAAAAGUUAAUUUACUGUCAUGUAUGCAUAUAUAGUGAAAAUUCAUUAUAAAUAUAUUGGAGUAUUCGAUAGUAAUAUCACAUCUCACUAAUAACAUAGAUGCGUAGAAUUUAUCACGGGUCUCACUCUCGUAAUCCGAUUAGUUUAAGCUUUUUUUAAGCUCGUAUGAUUAGAUAGACUAACGGAAAAAAAAAAUCAGAUUGGUUCGUAAACCAUGACCACAUUGUUUUUAAUGAAAUAGAUGAUUGUGAAAAGUAUAAGUUUGAAGUUGAACGUCUUAUUUUUUUUAGACAAAUCUACUAAUAAAAUUACAUGGCUAUAAUUAUUAAGUCAACUUAAUUUUUUGUAUGGUUAAUCUACGUUUUUGUAUAGUAGAUUAAAAAAUGUAAACGAUGUAAAUCAUUGAGCUGGAUUUUGGUGAGUCCAACGAUUUGGUAUGGUUGCAAAAGCUAUAGGACAAGUAUUUCUUUCUGUUUUAUUUCGAUUUUUUUUAUUUUAGGCUGUAGUUUUGAAUUUAGGGAUGGACAUUCAACUAGUCGAACUCGCACUACAUAUUUAAAGGGUUUUGGUCUGCCCAAGUCAAAACCAACUCAAUGCGGGCCUAAUAUAAAAUUCCCAAUUCUAGUCAUAAAACCUUUGAAAUUCCUAAGGACCAUUAAUCCCAUUUGUUCAUACUCUUAAAUAUUAAAUACAUUUAUUAUUUAAACAUUUACAUUGUAGUAAUUCUAAUUUUAGGAAAACCUAAAGAACCAAAUGCUUCAGUAAAGUUUUUCUAUUCUCUCUGUACAAACCACAUAAUUCCAACAUUACCCUCAUCUUCUGAUACAGUUUCUUAGGGAGCUAUUAUUCACACCCAUCUUUAAGUCAAAUCACCAAACCAUCACCAGACUCGUUGACUAAAAUUAUUCUUUUGCCCCUGCCUUUUCUCCCUUUUUUCCCGUGUCCCCACUCCCUUUUCCCCCAGCCGGGCCUCCCCCAGCCUUCCCUUUUUCGCUGCAAAGCCCCAGCUGGGCCCUCACCCCAGCCCCACACUUGUCAGCCCACCCUCCCUUUCAGCCGACUGUCUUCCCCACCCCCACCCCUCUAAUGUUAAACCACCCUUUUCAGCCCAGGCCCCCCCACCCCUUUUAUCAAAAAAAAUUUUAAUUUUUAAUUUGUUUUUGGAUUUUUUUGUUCCCAUAUAUAGAAUAAACACUUCUCUAUAUUUUUCAUCUUAUCAUUACCUACCACACUCCAUCUAACUAUUCACUCAAUUUCUAUCAAGAUUUUGUUAAAAUUUUUUUUCAAAAUUCAUAAUUAGAGCACUAUGGAUAUAGGUGUCAAAGUGGGCCUUGCCGGCACGGCAGACACGGGCAUGGCCACGAAAAAACUCGACACGGGCACGAUUUUGGCAUGGUAUAAGUUAGGCCGGGCACGCCAUCGGACGGUAUGGGCGGGCAAGGGUACGAAAUGGUGGGAGCACGGCACGGGGCCACGGUACGAUAGUUGGACUUAACAUAGCACGGCACGAUCAAAGCUCGGCACGGCACAGGCCAACGACACCACUAGUGGGCUGGUUUGGCACGGCACAGACUUAGUCAAGCACGGCCCUAUGGGCAGGAAAAGAAUGGUGUGAAGGCACGACGACACGGACAGAGAGUGGCAAGGAAUAAGGAAUUGAUUAAUUAUUAAAUAAAUAAAAUAAAUUUUAUUAAAUUAAAUUAAUUUUCAUAAUAAAAAAAAUUAUUAAAAGAAAAAAAGUAAACUAAAUAAAUUUUGACUCUUGUUCUCAUGGGUUAUGGCCAUAUAAAUAAAUAAAUAAUAAAAAAUAUAUUUUUAUUAAAUUAAAUUGACUUUCAAUGCCAUAAUAAAAAAAAAUUGAAAAAUUUUUUAAAAUAAAAUUAUGAAUAACAAAAAUAAAAAAAAAUUGACAAAAACAUUAAAAAUUAAAUUUGAACAACAAAAAGUAGAAAUUUUAAAAUUUGACUUAUGCCGUCAAACAAUACACGUUUCUUUCAUAUUUAUGACAAUUCACACCGUUCAUUUUGUUAUAGUGAUAUUUUAAUCACUCUGCCGAAUUUGAAGUCUAUUGGAUAUUGGAAAACUCUUUCAUUCGGGACAGUAAUUUAUUUAUUAUAUCAACCAAUAAUUUUUCUCAUUCGCUCCAGUACGUGCCGAUAAUUAAACUAUUUUAUGGUUUGCAUUGACGAUAUAAUCACUUCUACUUAUAAUUCUAACCGUUCCUAUUCAAAAAAAACUAUUGUGAUGCCAUCAAGUCAUGCAUUAUUAGACAUGAGCUCAUAGAUGGCACCGCAUGUGACCUGAUCAGGUGGUUGAAGACAUUUUGAUCCCACCGUUUUGAAACAAAUUAUAGAAUUGAUAAGAUAUAAAUCGUACUAUUUAAAUCAACAUUCAGGAAAUCGAGUCUGGCACGUGUCUUUCAAUCCUAUACAGCAAAUUACUUGGUUCUGACUAACUUAUUGUGUUUUAGGAUAAUGUACUCUCUCGCCAAAUUUCAAAUUUUCUAUCGGGUAUGAAAAUCCUUUAUCGAAAAGUAGAUUCACUAAAAAUUAAAAAUUAACAUAGAUACACCUUCAACUAUCACUUUAUCACUUCAUUGAUUUUUAGCUUCAAUUAUAGCUUCAAAAUCACACCAAAAAGAAGAUACUAAGCUGUCCGUUUGGUAAUGCUUACAAACAAGCUUUUUUUAAGCUUGCUACUAACAAGGCCAGAAUUUUUGAUUUUUUUGCUUUUGUGGCUUACUUUAGCUAAACUAAGUAAAAAGUCAAAAUCAAAAAAGCAAAAAAGCCACUCUGAUGAUUUUUUUGCUUAUUUUAAGCCAAAGCCAGAACAACAAGCUGGUGCCAACGGAGCCUAAAUCCCUUUCAAUUAGUUUUUUUGUGGCAACGGCUGCUAACCCAUAAGCCUUACCCACUGCUUACAUUUCCCAAAUUAUAAUUUUCCAUGAAAAAGUCCGUUUUUGUAUUAACAUAUUUAUAAAUUUGAGGCAUUUCUUAUGUGUUAUUGUUUGCACAAACUACUGUAAUUGGGCUUUUAAUUAAAAAACAUACACGACACACUUAAUACGGGUAGGGCACGACACGAUUAAGUGAUGGCAUGACCCGACACGCGUCACACAACUAAGUAGCGGGCCGACACGGCAUUGCAUCGAUUAGUAAGGCUGGCCGGCACGGCACGGCACGACACGACACUAUUUAAGUAAGCGGGCUGGCACGGCAUGACUGAUUAAGUAGACGGGCACUACACGGCACACAUGAGUCAUACGACUAAGUUAGCGUGCCGGCGCAGUACGGCACGUUAAGUAAGCGGCCUGCACGGCACAACACGAAUAAGAAACAAUAGCAUGACACGACAACGAUUAAAAAAAGGCACGGCAACGAUUAAAAAAGGCCGACACGACA
rnacentral:lncRNA from 1 species